rnacentral:rRNA from 1 species
CAGUCGCCGCGGGAAUACAGAGGGUGCAAGCGUUAAUCGGAAUUACUGGGCGUAAAGCGCGCGUAGGUGGUUUGUUAAGUUGGAUGUGAAAUCCCCGGGCUCAACCUGGGAACUGCAUCCAAAACUGGCAAGCUAGAGUAUGGUAGAGGGUGGUGGAAUUUCCUGUGUAGCGGUGAAAUGCGUAGAUAUAGGAAGGAACACCAGUGGCGAAGGCGACCACCUGGACUGAUACUGACACUGAGGUGCGAAAGCGUGGGGAGCAAACAGGAUUAGAUACCCGCGUAGUCCCUGUCUCUUAUAA